rnacentral:misc_RNA from 1 species
CGUGCCAAAACCUCCAUCUCCAAGUUCCUUGGCAGAAUCAAAAUUGUUAGUGGCCUCUUCAAGCUCAGAAUAGCUAAAGAGAUGGACCGCAAAGUAAUGCUCUCCUUUCUCAAUAUCUGACUUUGAGAAGUCUGAUGUGGUGCUUUUAGAGACAAAGGAAGAUGGAGCAUAUGGUUUUCUCCUGCGACGUAGAUAGAUGAAGACAAUUACACAGGCUAUGACUCCACCAAGAAAAGCCCCAACACCUAUACCAACUUUAGCUGGCACAUUCGGAUUAUUGUCGUCAUCACAGGAAUUAAGAUGAGUCCGAUCAUGACAAAAACAAACAAAUUCA